UACAGAGGGUGCGAGCGUUGUCCGGAAUCACUGGGCGUAAAGGGCGCGUAGGCGGUCUGCUAAGCGUGCGGUGAAAGCCCGGGGCUCAACCCCGGGUCGGCCGUGCGAACUGGUGGACUGGAGCUUGUCAGAGGCAGGCGGAAUUCCGGGUGUAGCGGUGGAAUGCGUAGAGAUCCGGAAGAAUACCUGUGGCGAAGGCGGCCAGCUGGGCCAGGUCCGACACUGAGGCGCGAAAGCGUGGGGAGCAAACAGG
rnacentral:rRNA from 1 species